CGGAGGCUGACUGCGUACACGCACUUGGCGCCUUGUGCACGUUUGGACCAGGGCUUAAUGGAGGCACGUGGGAGCAGGCUUGGUCGCUGGCGGGCCCCCAAAAGAGCCUCUUGGGAUGGCCCAGCGCGCGUUCGGGGUUGGGAAGGAAGGGAGAGUGUGAGUGUGAGUGUGUGUGAAUGUCCGUCCUAGGGAGGCGGAGGAGGAGCGUGGCUCAAGGAGACUUCAUAUUCCUGGAUUUGCUGCAGUUCCUUAAACCCAGCCAGGCUUUCGGGGCGUUAAAGUAAAUUACUGGUGGCAGUGUAGAAGCCAAGACGGGAGCUUCCAGAAGUGGCUUCCGAAAAAUAAGAGUGAAUAUACCCGAGUAAGCAAGCACAGGGGUCUGAAAAACCACAGGGCUGAAUAAUAUUUCAUCGCACGUAGACACCCCAUCUUCUUCAUCCACUUACCUGUGGAAGUCGUGUGUCUUUUUUGUAAAGUGUUCUGAUGCAGGCUCUUCUUGGAAGUUAAAGCAACCUAACCACAGAGGAUCUCGAGAACUCAAGUCCCAGUCACGUGUGGUGGAGAAACUGAGUCACAAAACGUUGCAGCAUCCUUGGAGUUCUAGAAAGAACUAAAAUAGCAUAUGGCUAAUUUAGGACGGAAAGAUGGGAACAACUUCUCCUUGAUUGGUGCUCUCUUGAAGAGAAAUCCUUUUGCUCAUCUCGGUG